CUCCUAGCCCUUAUGUUCUACCCAAAUCAAUAAGAGGGAGAGUCUCUAAACAAGAUCCUGUUAAAGCAGUGACCUUAAACUUCAGGACUGAUGAUCACCUUUCUGAGAGCUCCUGGACUAAGGAACCAGGCUCCCUUUUCUGAGAUGGCCAGUGCUUGUGCACAGUAAUCAAUGCUGAACUGGUGUUCUUUGUAGCAUCCCUUCUGGGAAUCCCAGAGCUGCUAAAACAACAACUCCCGCUAUUGAACCAGUCUCGCAGAAGAAAUAGAGACUAUGAAACAUCUAAUACUUUGUGCAGGCUUCCCCAUGGUAUUUCCAUCAACUCAAUGAUGAAGAAAUGUACUCAUUCUCAGAAAUGUUUUUUGACUCAUUCGCUAGAUGUAUUUGGAGACCCACACUAGAGCUGGUGUGCAAGGGUGUGUGUUUUAGGCGUGAUGAAGCUAAUUGGAUUGUGCAACUAAGAGAUCUUAAGGGAUCAUCUAGAUGGCUAAUUUUUAAGUUUUUAAGUAAGUUCCUUCACCUCAAAUGUGACCUU